AUGGCGACUCCGGCGUUCAUCUCGCCUCCCCUCGUCUUCCUCCUCCUCCUCGUGUCCUUCACAGCCUGCACCGACGCGACUGUCUUCUUCAUCAAGAACCAGUGCCCCUUCACGUUCGUCAAGAACGCCACCGACGGCAGGAUAUGGGCACGCACCCGCUGCUCUUUCGACCCUUCCACCGGCCGCGGGGGCUGCGAGACCGGCGACUGCGAUGGCGUGCUGCUCUGCGUCGUCGCUAGGAAGCCGUCCAUGACGCUGGCCGAGUUCACCAUCGGGUACGGCGGCGCCCCGGGCAGGUACGACAUCUCGGUGGCGUACGGCUUCAACGUGCCCAUGGACCUGUCCUGCAGCGAUGCCAACGUGAUCCGAUGCAGGGACGCAGACUGCCCCGACGGCAUCCACGGCUAA
rnacentral:rRNA from 1 species